rnacentral:rRNA from 1 species
GUGGUUUAAUUCGAAGCAACGCGAAGAACCUUACCAAAUCUUGACAUCCUUUGACAACUCUAGAGAUAGAGCUUUCCCCUUCGGGGGACAAAGUGACAGGUGGUGCAUGGUUGUCGUCAGCUCGUGUCGUGAGAUGUUGGGUUAAGUCCCGCAACGAGCGCAACCCUUAAGCUUAGUUGCCAUCAUUAAGUUGGGCACUCUAAGUUGACUGCCGGUGACAAACCGGAGGAAGGUGGGGAUGACGUCAAAUCAUCAUGCCCCUUAUGAUUUGGGCUACACACGUGCUACAAUGGACAAUACAAAGGGCAGCGAAACCGCGAGGUCAAGCAAAUCCCAUAAAGUUGUUCUCAGUUCGGAUUGUAGUCUGCAACUCGACUACAUGAAGCUGGAAUCGCUAGUAAUCGUAGAUCAGCAUGCUACGGUGAAUACGUUCCCGGGUCUUGUACACACCGCCCGUCACACCACGAGAGUUUGUAACACCCGAAGCCGGUGGAGUAACCUUUUAGGAGCUAGCCGUCGAAGGUGGGACAAAUGAUUGGGGUGAAGUCGUAACAAGGUAGCCGUAUCGGAAGGUGCGGCUGGAUCACCUCCUUU